rnacentral:rRNA from 1 species
UACGUAGCGAGGCGAGCGUUGAUCCGGAAUUAUUGGGCGUAAAGCGCGCGCAGGCGGAUCGGCAAGUUGGGCGUGAAAAUCUCCCGGCCUAACUGGGAGGGUCGCCCAAGACUGUCGGUCUUGAGGACAGCAGAGGUAGGUGGAAUUCCUGGUGUAGUGGUGAAAUGCGUAGAGAUCAGGAGGAACACCGGUGGCGAAGGCGGCCUACUGGGCUGUCACUGACGCUGAGGCGCGAAAGCUCGGGGAGCGAACGGG